CCUACGGGAGGCAGCAGUGGGGAAUCUUGCGCAAUGGGCGAAAGCCUGACGCAGCCAUGCCGCGUGAAUGAUGAAGGUCUUAGGAUUGUAAAAUUCUUUCAGUAGGGACGAUAAUGACGGUACCUACAGAAGAAGCCCCGGCUAACUUCGUGCCAGCAGCCGCGGUAAUACGAAGGGGGCUAGCGUUGCUCGGAAUUACUGGGCGUAAAGGGAGCGUAGGCGGGUUAUCAAGUUGGAGGUGAAAGCCCAGGGCUCAACCUUGGAAUAGCCUUCAAAACUGAUAACCUAGAGGAUGGAAGAGGUAAGUGGAACUCCGAGUGUAGAGGUGAAAUUCGUAGAUAUUCGGAAGAACACCAGUGGCGAAGGCGACUUACUGGUCCAUUACUAACGCUGAGGCUCGAAAGCGUGGGGAGCAAACAGGAUUAGAUACCCUGGUAGUCCACGCUGUAAACGAUGAUUGCUAGUUGUCGGCAGGCAUGCCUGUCGGUGACGCAGCUAACGCAUUAAGCAAUCCGCCUGGGGAGUACGGUCGCAAAGAUUAAAACUCAAAGGAAUUGACGG
rnacentral:rRNA from 1 species